CGGACGGGUGAGUAAUGCGUAGGAAUCUACCUAGUUGAGUGGGAUAGCCUAGGGAAACUUAGGGUAAUACCGCAUAAGUCUUACGGGAGAAAGCAGGGGACUGUUAAAGGCCUUGCGCGAUUAGAUGAGCCUACGUCGGAUUAGCUUGUUGGUGGGGUAAAGGCCUACCAAGGCGAUGAUCCGUAGCUGGUCUGAGAGGACGACCAGCCACACUGGGACUGAGACACGGCCCAG
rnacentral:rRNA from 1 species